AUUGAACGCUGGCGGCAGGCCUAACACAUGCAAGUCGAACGGUAACAGGAAGAAGCUUGCUUCUUUGCUGACGAGUGGCGGACGGGUGAGUAAUGUCUGGGAAACUGCCUGAUGGAGGGGGAUAACUACUGGAAACGGUAGCUAAUACCGCAUAACGUCGCAAGACCAAAGAGGGGGACCUUCGGGCCUCUUGCCAUCGGAUGUGCCCAGAUGGGAUUAGCUAGUAGGUGGGGUAACGGCUCACCUAGGCGACGAUCCCUAGCUGGUCUGAGAGGAUGACCAGCCACACUGGAACUGAGACACGGUCCAGACUCCUACGGGAGGCAGCAGUGGGGAAUAUUGCACAAUGGGCGCAAGCCUGAUGCAGCCAUGCCGCGUGUAUGAAGAAGGCCUUCGGGUUGUAAAGUACUUUCAGCGGGGAGGAAGGGAGUAAAGUUAAUACCUUUGCUCAUUGACGUUACCCGCAGAAGAAGCACCGGCUAACUCCGUGCCAGCAGCCGCGGUAAUACGGAGGGUGCAAGCGUUAAUCGGAAUUACUGGGCGUAAAGCGCACGCAGGCGGUUUGUUAAGUCAGAUGUGAAAUCCCCGGGCUCAACCUGGGAACUGCAUCUGAUACUGGCAAGCUUGAGUCUCGUAGAGGGGGGUAGAAUUCCAGGUGUAGCGGUGAAAUGCGUAGAGAUCUGGAGGAAUACCGGUGGCGAAGGCGGCCC
rnacentral:rRNA from 1 species